rnacentral:rRNA from 1 species
UACGAAGGGGGGCUAGCGUUGCUCGGAAUUACUGGGCGUAAAGCGCACGUAGGCGGCUCGGUAAGUCUGCUGUGAAAGUCCAGGGCUCAACCCUGGAAUGCCGGUGGAUACUGUCGAGCUCGAGUCCGGAAGAGGCGAGUGGAAUUCCCGGUGUAGAGGUGAAAUUCGUAGAUAUCGGGAGGAACACCAGUGGCGAAGGCGGCGAUCUGGGAAGAUACGUGACGCUGAGGUGCGAAAGCGUGGGGAGCAAACAGGAGUUAGA